UCGCCCUUAGAGUUUGAUCCUGGCUCAGGAUGAACGCUGGCGGCAUGCCUAAGACAUGCAAGUCGAACGAGGUGGCCCAAAGAAGAUUGAGUGCUUGCACAAGAUUGGACUUGGAUUACCACCUAGUGGCGGACGGGUGAGUAACACGUAGGUGACCUGCCUUUGAGUUUGGGAUAACUAUUAGAAAUGAUAGCUAAUACCGAAUUAAAUGCAGAUUCGUUUCUGUAUUAAAAGGAGCCUUUAAAGCUUCGCUUAAAGAUGGGCCUGCGGCGUAUUAGCUAGUUGGUGAGGUAAUGGCUUACCAAGGCGACGAUGCGUAGCCGAACUGAGAGGUUGAUCGGCCACAUUGGGACUGAGACACGGCCCAAACUCCUACGGGAGACAGCAGUUAGGAAUAUUCGUCAAUGGGGGAAACCCUGAACGAGCAAUGCCGCGUGAACGAUGAAGGCCCUAUGGGUUGUAAAGUUCUGUUGCAUGGGACGAACGAUUAGGAUAGGAAAUGAUCUUAAUGUGACGGUACCAUGCCAGAAAGCUCCGGCUAACUACGUGGCAGCAGCCGCGGUAAUACGUAGGGAGCAAGCGUUAUCCGGAUUUAUUGGGCGUAAAGGGUGCGUAGGCGGUUUGUUAAGUAUGAGAUUAAAGCCCGAGGCUUAACCUCGGUUCGUUUCAUAAACUGGCAGGCUUGAGUGUGGCAGAGGUAAACGGAAUUUCUAGUGUAGCGGUUAAAUGCGUAGAUAUUAGAAGGAACACCAGUGGCGAAGGCGGUCUACUGGGCCAUAACUGACGCUGAGGCACGAAAGCGUGGGGAGCAAAUAGGAUUAGAUACCCUAGUAGUCCACGCCGUAAACGAUGAGUACUAAGUGUUGGGGCAACCCAGUGCUGAAGUUAACACAUUAAGUACUCCGCCUGAGUAGUACGGUCGCAAGGCUGAAACUCAAAUGAAUUGAC
rnacentral:rRNA from 1 species